rnacentral:rRNA from 1 species
AUUGAACGCUGGCGGCAGGCCUAACACAUGCAAGUCGAGCGGAUGAAGGGAGCUUGCUCCUGGAUUCAGCGGCGGACGGGUGAGUAAUGCCUAGGAAUCUGCCUGGUAGUGGGGGAUAACGUCCGGAAACGGGCGCUAAUACCGCAUACGUCCUGAGGGAGAAAGUGGGGGAUCUUCGGACCUCACGCUAUCAGAUGAGCCUAGGUCGGAUUAGCUAGUUGGUGGGGUAAAGGCCUACCAAGGCGACGAUCCGUAACUGGUCUGAGAGGAUGAUCAGUCACACUGGAACUGAGACACGGUCCAGACUCCUACGGGAGGCAGCAGUGGGGAAUAUUGGACAAUGGGCGAAAGCCUGAUCCAGCCAUGCCGCGUGUGUGAAGAAGGUCUUCGGACUGUAAAGCACUUUAAGUUGGGAGGAAGGGCAGUAAGUUAAUACCUUGCUGUUUUGACGUUACCAACAGAAUAGGCACCGGCUAACUUCGUG